AAGCACCCCUUAGAAUAUUAAUACUUUCAUUAAGAAUUUAUGAAGACAAAUGAUCUCUUGUAUAUAGAUGUUAGAAAAAUUUUCAUAUCAGCUACAAAGGUUAUUCAAUGAUAAUAAAUUUUUCAAAAAGUUGCCAUUGUAAUGUUGAAAACAUAUAGACUAAAAUCAAGUAAUAUAUAGACUAAAAUUAGUUAUCCAAAAAAAAAGCAUAUAGAAAUUAAAUACCUAAAUAUAAAAGCAUUAUAAAAUUAGAUAUCUAAUUGCACUCACAGACUUAGCCUUGUGGUAAGUGCAUCUGAGUAAAUCUGGAAGGUAUCAGAUUCUACUCCCC
rnacentral:lncRNA from 1 species